UUUACUGUCCUAGAAAACAUGAUCCAUUCCUCUUAUAGCCUUAUGAUUAAUAUUGACAAGAACUCAUAAUCUGUCUAAAUACAUUGACAGGAGCUGCCAUAAUUUUCUAUGCCUCAACAUGGACUCAAAAUUUAUUUUCACAUCUAUACUGAAUCACAGUUUUUCCAAUAUGUGAAACAUAUAUUGUACAUAUAAAGACUCAUAGAAUAACUGAGACUUCUCAGUUUGUCCAUUUCUAUUGUAGUGCCAAAAUGUGAAUUUUGGAGCCUAGCUCUGGACAGGCAACUAAGCCCUUUGGUUUUGGGUUGUAUUUUCUUAAACAUAGUAUUGUGUAGUAAUGUGCCACUUUAUAAAGACAAAGAAUACAGGAAAACAAAUAACCAAGUUGUUGAUUCCCACCACAGAUUCCCUGCCUGAAAGGAAAGCUCUCCAUAAAGAAAGUUAAUAACCCUGGUCUGCCUGCCUUCCUGAGACAGGACAUCACUCAGAUGCUGGUACAAAUUCAUUGGCUAUACAUAUAUCUCUUGCAAUAUUUAUUCAUUUUCCUGCUGUCAGUAGUGACAAAUUGUUUCCUUGCAUUCUUGGGUUAGAAAUGGGCUGCUUUAUUUUUUUUUUCUUAUAUACCUCCCAACACCUUAGUCACUUCCAUAGCAGUUACAGAACUCAGAGCAACAGCAUUUUAUUAAACAUGUAGCAACAAAAAUCACUGUAAAAUAUCAAGGCUAAAGAAGAAUCUUCAUGAAGCCUUUCACAAAUCCGCUCAUAUCCCAUCACAUAGGUUUUUUUUUUAAAUAAAACAAAAUCAAAACCAAUGAUAACAAGCUCAACAAAACAACAAAACCAACAACUCCCCCAUUGUUCUAUGACUAUACAUAAAGAAUUUUAAUAGUGCAAAAAUAAAACAUGGGCAAGAAUAUUUUUCAGCCUUUUCAAUAGAACUUUUUCUGAUAUUCACACAUAACAAAGUCCAGCAUCAAAACUGUAGUUUAAAACUAAAAGUUAAAGAACAAAACAAAGAAAGUGUACAGCAAAAGCUCUACUGAACAAUGAGCUCCAGAAAUGACAGCCUGAAAGACAUUCAUAAAAAUAAAAGGGCAGAUCCGUUAGUUGGACCAAUAAAUUAGUCAGCUAUGGUCCUCCAGAGCAUUCAGUGACAAGGAAAAAGCGAAAUUCUGGAUGCUGAAAGAUCAAAGAAAAUUAAGUAAAUUCCACACAAAUCCAGGAGACUAUCUUAAAAUUUUAGUACAAACAUGACUCCCAAGGGCCCAUUAAAGCCCCAAAUUAUUCUAAGAUUCUACAAUUCCACCAUGCUGAGUCAAAAGCAUCUUCCUUUCAUGUCAUAAAGCAGUUCUUUGCCUGAGUUUUGUGCACUGUAGAAUGAGGGCAGGUGAGUCUUCACCUUUUAUUUGCUGCAUGUCAUCAACUACAACUACAGUGCUGUAAAUCCACAUUUUAUUUUCUCUGUUGGACUCAUUGGUUUUUUAAAAACUAAACUACCAUGAAAAAUACUCACAAAAUAUUAAAUAAGCAUGAACAUUUCAACUGAACUACUUGAGAAAGUAUUAACUUUUAGAUGUUCUCUAGCUUGUUCUGUAGGAAAAGGAUCCAUAGAGAUUACUUAAGACAAAGAAAUCAAAACAGAAUAAUUUCAUUGUGAAAACCAGGAAACAUUGCAUUCUUGAUAGCCACUCUCCUUUUUAUGCAAAAGCUUUAUUGCAUUACAUUUCUGAGCAUUAUUUCAGUAUGUUUUAAAUAGUUUUUCAGAGUUUAUAGACUGUAUCAAAGCAUAUCAAAUCAACCAGAACAUAGAUGUUUGCCAUUCUACUCUCUAGCACAAUCCUAUUUUGAACAUUUCAUAUUUUGCCAUUUCUAAGUCUUCAGACAGUUUUCCCUCUCCUGUAUCUGAAAUUGUGUUUAGUGCUGUCUGGAGCAAGGUGGUAGUGAUAAUAUUAAAUUUUACAGUUUCACAGACUGAUACACUUUACUUCACCAAAUAGAAACAGUUCCAUUAAGGGAAACACAAACCGCACUAAUAAUGUGUGCCCCAGCUGUGACUGUGAAGGUGAGAAGGCAGAUUUAUUUUCUUUUGCAUUCAAGGCUUGACGCAAGUCCCAUUUGAAAAAUUCGAAAAUAUUCAAACUUUUGUGAACAUCCUUGAUACUUAACUAAUAUGUGAUUUGUGUUCAGUGGUUCAUGGAGAUACAAACAUGUUGGAAUUUUUUUCCUUUAGAUUUGUUCUACAUCACUCAAACUUUGGGCUUGGUUAACAAAUUGGGGCAAGAGAAUGCUGACCUCCUUAGCAAUCACUGUGGGUGAUUUUCCCAUUUCAUCGAUCAGCUGGUACCUUUCCUGUAUUCCAUCACUGUUACACCUGCAGCUUCCUUCCUUGGAGACUUCCCAUCUCUGCUGUCCAGCCACAAGGAGCACUAAGUUCUCUUCAGGAGGUGAAGAGUCCUUAAACCAGGACAAAAACCAGGACAGUUUGGCACCUCCUGCCAGUUUCAUCUUGUCGAUCUGUAAAUUAUCUGUUCCGUACAGCCUGAGAGGAAUCAACCCAUGGGGCCCGACUUUAUCAGGCCUGUAUUUCGGGAGCUGGUUUGGGCAGGGCUGGGGAAACAGGAGGCUUUGGGUAGAGGAAAAUCGCUGGAGCAAAGCUGCGAGAUUGGGCCCUCAGUCCCCGAGCCCUCCCCGCCGCCGGCACCGCGGCAGAACCACAGCAUGAGACCCGGGCCCUCACAGGCCACGGCACGGGCCGGCCUGGCAGAAGGUUCCAGGAGCUUCCAGAGGCUGAGGGAGGCUCCGCAGCCCCCACGGCGCCAGGGCGGGCCCUGCUCCUCCCUCCAUGUGCCCACAGCGCCCGGGAAGCGGCCGGAGCGGGGGGGAGGGGAGCCCACCCGAACCGGAGACAUUAAGCAAAGCCGCACAGCGAAUCCUGAUCGGUUCACGUUGGGUUCAAAUCAAUGAAGUUUACCCCAGGAAAAGCGAGCUGAUUGCAUAGAUUCCACCAUUCUGCAGAAACAAAGUUAUCAUAGAAAAAAAUCUGAAAAACUAUUAUCUGUUGAGCCUUUGAGAACUUCACUUGAUAUUGAAGCAGAUAAACACUGACCUGGAACUCUGAGGUGCCUGUUUCUAGUCCAGCCUGAGGAGAACAACUGGAAUCCAAGCUACUCGUUUUCGCUACAGCGCAACAGCUGUUCUGUGGGAUGUUUCACCUUUGCAAGGAGCUGAGAGGAGGGCAGUAUAAAAUUGGAGAUGUCUGUGUACAAGAACAGAUGGAUCCAUAGGUCUAGGAAGAAGAGCAAGAAUAAAUCCUCAAGAGAUGCUUCUUUCAAAGAUACCUGCAAACAAGCUUGGGACCUUGUGUGCCAUAUUUUAUUGGUGUGAAACAGGUAUGAGAAAAGUUCCAUUUAUUUUAAAGUUUAGAAGUUUACCUUACUGCUGUGGCAUUUUUCUUUAUGAAAAUUACCUUUAUUUCAUCUUUAUGACAAUUACCAUAGCAGGCCUCUCAGUGAAUUCCUGGUAGUCUCAUCAGCAAGAAAUAUUGACAGGGAGUUUUAUAAGGAAAUUCCAUAACAUGACCCUCUUACAACUCACCAACAGUUACCACUAGAAAAACAGGUCAGGAAGCAAGACUGGAAGGUCCCAGGGGGAUGAGCUGAAGUUAGGCCUGACAUCCAAGGAGAUGGCAGCACCAUGACGAUUUUUUCACCCAGUGAUGAGCAGCUGCAGCCAGCACUACAUGGAGAGGCAGACAGAGGGAAGCAUUCAAGGCUGAAGUGAUGACCAGCCCAGCUCUUACAGAUUCAAGAGUGUCAAAUCUACCUCCAAAGUAGAUUAAGCUCAAAGCUGAAAUCUUCCAGACUUGCAGAGAGAAAAAGAGGUAGCAGUGCCUGGUCUUCCUCCCAGAGCAGCAAAAAUCUGAAAUGCUUUCCAAAUAACAGGCUAAGCACAUUCUGCCCAUUCUUAUUUUCUUAAUUUUCCAUAUUUACUCGUUCACUGCUCUUCUAUUCUUUCUACUAACUGGGCUACCUUUUCAUGGUCCCAUUAUUGUCUUGUUGCCCCCUUAGGCAACAAGAAGCACCUGUUAACUUAGACCUAACAUCUCCAAGCUUGUAUUUCACUCAAGUAUAUUGGCAACAGCUGCACAUCUCUACCAAGGAAAGUUUCUGUUCUUCUUAGUUUCUGCUAGCUAUGUUCUCCUUUUCUUUCCUUCAAAAUUUAUCUUCAGCCGAGUACACCAUAUUUCAAUGCUGCUGCUUCUGGUUAUAUAUUGUUUAGAUUUCUUUCUUGGUAACUCUGUGAACUGGCUGGCUUUUUUCAUUAUUUCUGUGGGGCUAUGGGGAGAAAAACCAAGCAAUUCCUUUACUUGAGAAUUUUGCCAUUUAUUAAGAUAGUAAAACUCUCAGCAGAAAUUGCAAUUUUCCAAGUAAUAUCAUUUGCAGGGGAACUUACAAGAGCUUUAUUUUAAAGCUAGAUAAAACUUAGAGUGAGAAAUGGGUGGAAUUCAGACAAAAAAUUAGAAAAUUAGAAUUAGGAAAUGUGCUCUGAAGUGAAAAUUAUGUUAAUUACAUUGCAAAAGGCCACAUAAACUAAAGAACUAUUAUUUCCAGGCCUUCUUAAUGGCUAAACAAAACAGAAGCAGUUGCUGGGAACUGUGUCACUAAAAACAAAUAGCUGUAUUGCUAUCAGCAUCUGAAUGUGAAUUGCAUGUGGAACAAGUUCUUCAAUAUUCUGUCUAUAACCAUUCACAGUAUCGUGUUGAGUAAUCUUCUAAAAACUUUGGAAUUUGUAUGUCUUCUAGCAUGCCUGGCACCUUUUCCAGAGAAAAGGUAGCAUUUCAUGGUUUUGUUUUGGUGAGUUUUUGGGGUUUUUAUUUCUGUUUUGGUUUUUGUUGUUUUG